GGGGGUGUAGCUCAUAUGGUAGAGCGCUUGCUUCGCAUGCGAGAGGCACGGGGUUUGAUUCCCGCACCUCCA
rnacentral:tRNA from 1 species